GGUACUGUCUUUCAUCCGUAGAUCACUCCGAUACCUCGCUCGUCGGACCUCUGCAAUCUCACCGUCUGCUGAAAUUGACACACACAACGCCGCUACGGUGGCGGAGGAUUCUUCAUGCGUGCGCCGCUCACGGUGGUGGUGACGCUCCGCCGCCUCCGGGACCACCUCUCCGCUGACCUCCGCCCAUCCCCGCCCUUCCCCUUCUUACCUUUCUCCUCCUCAUCCGGUUGCAUCGGCGCACCUCAUGCUUCCUGCCUCUCUUCCCUCGUUCCGGUUUCAUUGGCGAGAAAACGAAUCGCAAUAGGCCACGGGUCAUGCUUUCAGUUUCCUCUUUGCUUUCCCGCCGCCCGGCACCGUUGUCUUUAGGCCCUUUCUUGUGAAGUAUUUUGCUAGGGAGUACUCAUCGUCCGCGAGGCUUCCUGCAAGUGGCACUUCUGCUUCUUUGGCAUCUCGCGUUCGCAGCAAUUCAUCCCUCCCCUCUUGCCGGCCCGGCUGCACCAACAGACCACACUAAAUGUAGUUAUAUCUACAAUAGGGCAAGGGAUUAACUCCCGACAAGUACAUGCCCUUGGGAAAAAAAACUCUCCCAUCCCUAGUCAACUUGCCGAUCGGCUAUAAGCUGACCCGUGAUUUACUUCCCUUCACAUAACCUGGGACGGACUAUGAGGAACACUUAGGGUGAGCGUACUCACCUUUUUUGCUACAAUCAAUCAGCAAGCAGUUAGUGCAGCAUUGUGGUGCAACUUCCUUGUCUUCUCUCUCAAGUUUGGAAUGUGGCUGACAACUUCAAGCCAUGUUAUGUUAACUGAAGUUGUGCACUCAGCUGCAGACCUUGCUAAUCAGGUUUGGGCGCAAAGGGUUGUGCAUGGGAUGCAGAACCUAUGGAAAGCUCAUCCUCCUGAAAAUAUGCACUAUGCUGCCUUAGUGAUUUGUGGAUCCUUCCUCGUAGAAUGUGCUUGGCUGCUUGUUGCUAUUAAUGCUGUUAAGAAAGGUGCAGCUGCAGAAGGAAUGAAAUUGUGGGACUAUGUUUGGCACGGCCAUGAUCCAACAUCUGUUGCUGUUAUGACAGAGGAUGGUGCUCCGGUUACUGGUAUUGCAAUUGCUGCAGCAUCACUAGUUGCUCUUUAAGACAGGAAAUCCAAUAUAUGACCCAAUCGGUUCUAUCAUAGUUGAAAAUCUGCUUGGAAUGGUUUUAUUAUAAGUUCUUUUGAAACAGAUCAAUAGUUUUAACAUGAGAGGCUGCUAUGUUCCACUUGGAUAAUUAAUACAGUUCAGCUGAUGCUAUGUUCUGGUAUUUUAGGUUGCUGUAUUUUUAAUCCAAAGGUAUAAGCAUGCAUUAAUUGGUAGAGCAAUUGAUGAUCAUGACAUAGAAAAAAGUAUUAAGGUUUCUUAAAGCUGAUUCUUAUACAUACAGUACCUAACAUGUUUAAUCACGAGGCUUCUCUAACAUGUUGUGUGUAUAUUUAUAUCUUUUACAGGUUGUAGAUUUUCGCUAUGAUUGCAACAGUGAGGUGAUUGGUCAAAGCAGAAAUAGUUUCGGGAAGCAAAGUCUCAAGACGACAAUGCACUUCUAAAUGUUAUGGCUGCUUAUGGCGAGGAUGUUGUUGAAGCGUUUGGCAGUGAAGCUGAUAGGUUUGAAUCAGAGAUUCAGAAGAUUGUUCCUGGUAGUAGACAAGUUGAUAUGGAGCCACAUAAUCCUGAAGCAGUUCUCUCGGUUCCACAAGUCGACCAUCAUGAGCUUAUGCUUUUUUUUCUUUUUCUUUUUGCUAUAUUUCAUGACAAAUCUAACUCUUUAUGUGAGAAUUUAAAACUUCAUUUCUUUAGAGGUCAUGUUUUGGCCUUUAGCUGUGUAAAUUUAUCACACAUUCUUUAUGGGAGGAAAAAGAAAAAUUCAUGACUUUUCGCAUAUU